rnacentral:SRP_RNA from 1 species
GCUGGGCAUGGUGGCGCCUGCCUGUAAUCCCAGCUACUUGGGAGGCUGAGGCAGGGGAAUCACUUGAGCCCAGGAGGUGGAGGCUGCAGUGAGCUGAGAUUGCACCACUGCACUCCAGCCUGGGCGACAGAGUGAGACUUUGUCUCAA